GAAGACCUAUUGCAUACAGUAUAAGAAAAACAGACCUAAACACAAAAACUUAACACUGAGCAAUGAACCUUGAAAAUGAGGUCAAGGUCAAAUAAAACUUGCGUGACUGACAAAGAGAUCAUAAAAUAUUUCCAUACACCAAAUAUAGUUGAACUAUUGCAUAUAGUAUUAGAAAAAAAGACCAAAACUCAAAAACUUAACUUUGACCACUGAACCAUGAAAAUGAGGUCAAGGUUAGAUGACACCUGCCCGCUAGACAUGUACACCUUACAAUCAUUCCAUACACCAAAUAUGAAAGACCUAUUGCAUACAGUAUAAGAAAAACAGACCAAAACACAAAAAC